rnacentral:rRNA from 1 species
GGCCUAACACAUGCAAGUCGAGCGGUAACAUUUCUAGCUUGCUAGAAGAUGACGAGCGGCGGACGGGUGAGUAAUGCUUGGGAACAUGCCUUUAGGUGGGGGACAACCAUUGGAAACGAUGGCUAAUACCGCAUAAUGUCUACGGACCAAAGGGGGCUUCGGCUCUCGCCUUUAGAUUGGCCCAAGUGGGAUUAGCUAGUUGGUGAGGUAAUGGCUCACCAAGGCGACGAUCCCUAGCUGGUUUGAGAGGAUGAUCAGCCACACUGGAACUGAGACACGGUCCAGACUCCUACGGGAGGCAGCAGUGGGGAAUAUUGCACAAUGGGCGCAAGCCUGAUGCAGCCAUGCCGCGUGUGUGAAGAAGGCCUUCGGGUUGUAAAGCACUUUCAGUAAGGAGGAAAGGUUAGUAGUUAAUACCUGCUAGCUGUGACGUUACUUACAGAAGAAGCACCGGCUAACUCCGUGCCAGCAGCCGCGGUAAUACGGAGGGUGCGAGCGUUAAUCGGAAUUACUGGGCGUAAAGCGUACGCAGGCGGUUUGUUAAGCGAGAUGUGAAAGCCCCGGGCUCAACCUGGGAACUGCAUUUCGAACUGGCAAACUAGAGUGUGAUAGAGGGUGGUAGAAUUUCAGGUGUAGCGGUGAAAUGCGUAGAGAUCUGAAGGAAUACCGAUGGCGAAGGCAGCCACCUGGGUCAACACUGACGCUCAUGUACGAAAGCGUGGGGAGCAAACGGGAUUAGAUACCCCGGUAGUCCACGCCGUAAACGAUGUCUACUAGGAGUUCGGUCUUUUCGGGAACUGUCUUCCAAAGCUAACGCAUUAAGUAGACCGCCUGGGGAGUACGGCCGCAAGGUUAAAACUCAAAUGAAUUGACGGGGGCCCGCACAAGCGGUGGAGCAUGUGGUUUAAUUCGAUGCAACGCGAAGAACCUUACCUACACUUG